rnacentral:rRNA from 1 species
CAGAGGGUAGUGUGAAUUAUAAUAGACCUCAAGAAGACCCCACAACUACACAUCGUUAACCCUACACUGGAGUGCCACCUUAAGGGAAAGACUAAAAGAGAGGGAAGGAACUCGGCAAACACAAGCCUCGCCUGUUUACCAAAAACAUCGCCUCCUGCAACUAGAUUGAGAUAGGAGGUCCAGCCUGCCCAGUGACUACGGGUUUAAC